UACGUAGGGGGCAAGCGUUGUCCGGAAUCAUUGGGCGUAAAGAGCGUGUAGGCGGCUCGAUAAGUCUGCUGUGAAAGUCCAGGGCUCAACCCCGGAAGGCCGGUGGAAACUGUCGGGCUAGAGUCCGGAAGAGGCGAGUGGAAUUCCCGGUGUAGCGGUGAAAUGCGCAGAUAUCGGGAGGAACACCAAUGGCGAAGGCAGCUCGCUGGGACGGUACUGACGCUGAGACGCGAAAGCGUGGGGAGCAAACAGG
rnacentral:rRNA from 1 species